rnacentral:rRNA from 1 species
UACGUAGGGGGCAAGCGUUAUCCGGAAUUACUGGGCGUAAAGCGCACGCAGGCGGGUCGCCGAGUUUAGAGUGACAGUUGUCGGCUCAACCGACAAAGGACUUCAAAAACUGGUGAACUUGAGGACGAGAGAGGAACAUGGAACUCCAGGUGUAGUAGUGAAAUGCGUAGAUAUCUGGAAGAACACCAAUGGCGAAGGCAAUGUUCUGGCUCGUUUCUGACGCUCAGGUGCGAAAGCCAGGGGAGCGAACGGG